UACGGAGGGUGCAAGCGUUACGCGGAAUUAUUGGGCGUAAAGCGCGCGUAGGCGGCUUGGCAAGUCAAAGGUGAAAUCCCUCGGCUCAACCGAGGAACUGCCUUUGAAACUGCCUGGCUUGAGGCCGGGAGGGGGUAGCGGAAUUCCCAGUGUAGCGGUGAAAUGCGUAGAUAUUGGGAGGAACACCGGUGGCGAAGGCGGCUACCUGGACCGGUUCUGACGCUGAGGCGCGAAAGCGUGGGGAGCAAACAGG
rnacentral:rRNA from 1 species